rnacentral:tRNA from 1 species
GGAUAUAGCUUAAGUGGUAGAGUGCCUGCUUAGCAUGCACGAGGUCCUGGGUUCAAUUCCCAGUGCCUCCA